AGCGCUGGAAAUGCGAGACCGACAGCUGGUUUAUUUUUGGGUCAGUGACAGUGUGUCAAUGGCCGCAGAUGCGUCGGAAAGGAAGGCUCUGAGAUACCAACAGACCCUGCUGUAUGGGGAAUACCAUGAGCACCCGGGUGGGUCUGGCCGGAGAGAGGCCACCCGACUUCUAACAGAGAGACAAUGGAAGAAACACCACCAUCAUCACCAUCACCAUGGCCACCAUCCACAGCAUCACCGUGGCCACCAUCACCACGGGCACCACCAUGGCCACCACCAUGGUCACACACAUGGAUACGGGCACCACAGCAGGCACAGGGGUCGGCAUCACUCAGACGAGGUGGGACAUGCACAAAUGGCUACAGAGCAAGGCAACCCUUUGUCUAUAAAGAAACGUCGCUCCUACUCAAAGUGCAGAGACUGUGUAGCACGGGUACAGAGGUUCCUGGUCGCCAAGCUGGGAGAGGACUGGAUCUUUCUGGUGCUGCUGGGCAUCUCAAUGGCACUGGUCAGCUGGACCAUGGACUACACCAGUGCCAAAAGUCUACAAUUGUAUAAGUGGAUUCACUGGGAGCUGAGGGGUAAUGUCCUGCUCCAGUACCUGGCUUGGGUCAGCUAUCCCAUGGCGCUCAUCAUGUUCGCCUCCUUCUUCUGCCACCUGGUCGCCCCACAAGCCAUCGGCUCUGGUAUUCCUGAGCUGAAGACCAUUCUCAGAGGGGUCGUGUUGAAGGAGUAUCUGACUGUCAGGGCUUUUACUGCCAAGGUCAUUGGUCUGACUGCAGGUCUGGGCAGUGGGAUGCCAGUAGGGAAAGAGGGCCCAUUUGUUCAUAUCGCCAGCAUCUGUGCUGCUGUGCUGAGCAAGUGUAUGACGUUCUUCUCGGGAGUCCAUCAGAGCCCAUACUGCUACACAGACAUCCUUACAGUUGGCUGUGCGGUUGGGGUGGGUUGCUGUUUCGGUACCCCUCUUGGAGGGGUGCUGUUCAGUAUCGAGGUGACGUCCACUUACUUUGCUGUGAGGAACUACUGGAGAGGCUAUUUCGCCGCCACCUUCAGUGCCUUCAUAUUCAGAGUGCUCUCCGUGUUCAACAAAGAUGCAGUCACCAUCACUGCUCUCUUCCGCACCAAGUUCCGCAUGGACUUCCCCUUUGACCUCCAGGAGCUGCCUGCAUUUGCCAUCAUCGGGAUCUCCUGCGGCUUCCUGGGGGCCUUCUUCGUCUGGCUGAACCGCCAGGUGGUGCUGUUCAUGAGGAAACCCAACGCCAUGACACGCUUCCUCACCAGACACCGACUGAUUUUCCCCGGUGUUGUGACCUUAGUGAUAGCCAGCUUGACCUUUCCCCCUGGAUUUGGACAGUUCAUGGCUGGAGAGCUGAUGCCAAGAGAAUGCAUCAACUCCCUGUUUGACAACUUCACCUGGACCAAAAUCUGGGGCUCCCCCCCUCCCCCCAGCCUGGGGCGCUCCUCUGCCUGGCUGCACCCCGACGUCAGCGUCUUUGUCAUCCUCCUCCUCUUCUUCGUCAUGAAGUUUUGGAUGUCUGCUGUUUCGACCACGAUGCCCAUCCCUUCUGGAGCCUUCAUGCCUGUCUUCAUACUCGGUAAACAGAACCUCUUUUGCCUCGUGAGAUUCAUGGCUGCCCUCUUCCCCGAUGGGAUUCUGUUUGAUGGAAUCUUGUAUCGCAUCAUCCCAGGAGGGUACGCAGUCAUUGGAGCGGCGGCACUGACCGGGGCGGUGACCCACACGGUGUCCACGGCGGUUAUCUGCUUUGAGCUGACGGGCCAGAUCUCCCACAUCCUGCCCAUGAUGGUGGCCGUGAUCCUGGCUAACAUGGUGGCCCAGGGCCUGCAGCCCUCGCUCUACGACUCCAUCAUCCAGAUCAAGAAACUGCCUUACCUCCCUGAGCUGGGCUUUGGACACAUCAGCCAGUAUAACAUCUUUGUGGAGGACAUCAUGGUUAGGAAAGUGAAGUUUCUCUCAUUACAGUCCACCUACAGGGAGUUGAUACACCUCCUGGAUUCCACUUCUCUCAAAACGAUACCACUAGUGGAUUCAACAGACUCUAUGAUCCUUUUGGGCUCCAUCGAGCGGUCAGAGCUCCACGCUCUCUGUGAUUGGUGGCUCUCUGCAGAGAGGCGGAUCCUCAGGCAGGAACAGCGUUUGCAGGAACAGAACCAGUAUGCCAAAGACAGCUGGGAAUCCUUUGCCUUUGUGGAUGAAGAUGAUGAGGAGAGUGGAGAUAAGGUGUGUCAGAGAGACCAAGGGGAAAUGUUCAUAAGGAAUCAAAAACACACUCUUAGAAAAUCAAUCAAAUCAAAGUUGCGUUUCAGAGUGUUUUUAGCCAAUUACAGUGUUGCGUUUCUUGACAUUGUGUUUGAUUGGCUGGAGCAGAUCAAAGAAUGGGAGGAGGCUGAGAUGGACAAGCCAAUGGAAAUUGAUCAGAUCCGAAUAGAUCCCUCCCCUUUCCAGCUAGUGGAGAGGACAUCAUUACACAAGACCCACACUCUCUUCUCAUUACUGGGCCUGAGUCAUGCCUAUGUCACCAGUAUCGGAAAACUGGUGGGUGUUGUUGCACUUAAAGAGCUGCAAAAGGCCAUCGAGGGCUCCACCCGUAGCGGGGUCCGGCUACGUCCCCCUCUGGCCAGCUUCAGCAACACCAGCCGAAAGUCAUCCAAACCCCAGGCAACCUCCGCUCCCUCCUCCCCGACCACCCCCUCCUCCCCUCUCUCCCAGGCUCCCAUCUUCCCCCAUGCCACUUCUUUCUCUAUCCCUCCAUCUUCUCUCUCUCCCUAUUGCCCUUUCCCUCUUUCGCUCUCUCGCUGUUCCUUCUCGCACCCUCUUUCUUCACUCGAUGAAUGA
rnacentral:lncRNA from 1 species